AUCGUGUUUGUUUUUCCACUUUUUUCAUGUUGGGUGGGUCCAGAGAGUUAAAAACUCUCUCCAUGUGUUGACCUUUGGGUCUGUGUGAAUCUAAUCCCCCAUGAAGCAACCCUACUUCAGGUGGAUUUUAAUGAUCUUUGAUGCCAGAAGUUCCAUCCAUUAUGAUGAAAAGUUUCUUUUCUUGAGCAAAGCGCAUCCUCUGGCAUUGCCAACUCUGUUCUAACUGAGAAUUUUGAAUACUUUUCCUGAUUGUGUAUUAUGUAACACAAGUGUUUUUAAAUGGUACUCUCACCCAGUAGGCCAGCUCUCCAAGCACUGCUUAGAUACUCAAAAGAACAUAUUUUAAGUUUGCCAUUAUGAAAUGCCAGUGCAACUAAUCGCACAUAAGCCAAAUGUUUGUGGACCACUUUAUGUUUUCCUGAGGUUUUUCCACUUCUCCAAAUUUUACAAAUCAUUGAAAGAAUAUUUUCUAGCUCCAAUAGUCACUGAACACUGGGGGGAGGAAAGUAGGCAUUUUAGAAACCAGAGCCAUAGAUUUAUUAUAAGUUUGCAUAAAGAGGAGCAAUUUCCUAAUCCAUAGAACAAGUAUCAUCUAAACUUGAAUUUUAUCUUUUUAGCAAUUAAUUGCUAUUACUCAUAUCUAUUUUUUCAGCACUUCAAUUAAUAUAUGAAUUUUAAAUACUCUAUCUGUUGUUACUAAGACAUACUAAUGCUUAAUAUAAAGUCUAAAAGUCAUCCCAUCUAUCUGAAGUGAUGAAAUUUAACUAGUACAUAUCACACGUAU
rnacentral:lncRNA from 1 species